CCCUUAGAUGUUCUGGGCCGCACGCGCGCUACACUGAUGAAGGCAACAAGUAAUUCACCUUGGCCGGAAGGUCUGGGUAAUCUUUUGAAACUUUAUCGUGCUGGGGAUAGAGCAUUGCAAUUAUUGCUCUUCAACGAGGAAUUCCUAGUAAGCGCAAGUCAUCAGCUUGCGUUGAUUACGUCCCUGCCCUUUGUACACACCGCCCGUCGCUACUACCGAUUGAAUGGCUUAGUGAGACCUCCGGAUUGACGAAUAGAACUUGGCAACAGGAUCCAUUUGUUGAAAAGCUGGUCAAACUUGGUCAUUUAGAGGAAGUAAAAGUCGUAACA
rnacentral:rRNA from 1 species